CUUAAGAAUGCUUCAGAGAUACAAAAAAUACUUUUGCCUAGGGUUGUCGGUGCCGAAAAUAACCCAGAAAAGGGCUGCCACUUCAUUCUUUGGGUAUUUGACAUCCCCAAGCAAGAUAUUAGGGUGUAUGACAACACUGGUGUAUCCCGUACCAUUUCAGAGCCAGACAUGCAAAUUCUAAGAAAUGCAUUUAGAAAUGUUGGCUCCUUGAAUGAUUGGACUAUAACCUAUCCACAGCAAUGGCAUAGAGAUGAUGGAAGGAACUGUGGGGUUUUUGUUUGCACAGUAGCGGAGAUGGAAGCCAGAAAUAUUAAAAUGAAUCAUGAAAUGCUGCACAUUGAACAACUGAGACACCUUCGGCUUUACCAUGCCACAAGCAUGGUAAAAAAUAUACAAUCUGAGGCUGUUGAAGCAACAAAGAG